CAAAGCAUAGCUUAAAUAAAGCAUCUAGUUUACACCUAGAAGAUAUCACGCAUAGGGAUUACUUUGA
rnacentral:tRNA from 1 species